rnacentral:rRNA from 1 species
AUUGAACGCUGGCGGCAGGCUUAACACAUGCAAGUCGAACGAUGAAACUCUAGCUUGCUAGAGAAGAUUAGUGGCGGACGGGUGAGUAACAUUUAGGAAUCUGCCUAGUAGUGGGGGAUAGCUCGGGGAAACUCGAAUUAAUACCGCAUACGACCUACGGGUGAAAGGGGGCGCAAGCUCUUGCUAUUAGAUGAGCCUAAAUCAGAUUAGCUAGUUGGUGGGGUAAAGGCCCACCAAGGCGACGAUCUGUAACUGGUCUGAGAGGAUGAUCAGUCACACCGGAACUGAGACACGGUCCGGACUCCUACGGGAGGCAGCAGUGGGGAAUAUUGGACAAUGGGGGCAACCCUGAUCCAGCCAUGCCGCGUGUGUGAAGAAGGCCUUUUGGUUGUAAAGCACUUUAAGCAGGGAGGAGAGGCUAAUGGUUAAUACCCAUUAGAUUAGACGUUACCUGCAGAAUAAGCACCGGCUAACUCUGCGCCAGCAGCCGCGGUAAUACAGAGGGUGCGAGCGUUAAUCGGAAUUACUGGGCGUAAAGCGAGUGUAGGUGGCUCAUUAAGUCACAUGUGAAAUCCCCGGGCUUAACCUGGGAACUGCAUGUGAUACUGGUGGUGCUAGAAUAUGUGAGAGGGAAGUAGAAUUCCAGGUGUAGCGGUGAAAUGCGUAGAGAUCUGGAGGAAUACCGAUGGCGAAGGCAGCUUCCUGGCAUAAUAUUGACACUGAGAUUCGAAAGCGUGGGUAGCAAACAGGAUUAGAUACCCUGGUAGUCCACGCCGUAAACGAUGUCUACUAGCCGUUGGGGUCCUUGAGACUUUAGUGGCGCAGUUAACGCGAUAAGUAGACCGCCUGGGGAGUACGGCCGCAAGGUUAAAACUCAAAUGAAUUGACGGGGGCCCGCACAAGCGGUGGAGCAUGUGGUUUAAUUCGAUGCAACGCGAAGAACCUUACCUGGUCUCGACAUAGUGAGAAUCUUUCAGAGAUGAGAGAGUGCCUUCGGGAAUUCACAUACAGGUGCUGCAUGGCUGUCGUCAGCUCGUGUCGUGAGAUGUUGGGUUAAGUCCCGCAACGAGCGCAACCCUUUUCCUUAUUUGCCAGCGGGUUAAGCCGGGAACUUUAAGGAUACUGCCAGUGACAAACUGGAGGAAGGCGGGGACGACGUCAAGUCAUCAUGGCCCUUACGACCAGGGCUACACACGUGCUACAAUGGUAGGUACAGAGGGUUGCUACACAGCGAUGUGAUGCUAAUCUCAAAAAGCCUAUCGUAGUCCGGAUUGGAGUCUGCAACUCGACUCCAUGAAGUCGGAAUCGCUAGUAAUCGCAGAUCAGAAUGCUGCGGUGAAUACGUUCCCGGGCCU